rfam:Mycosphaerella eumusae strain CBS 114824 scaffold102, whole genome shotgun sequence.
GCAGACUUCAUAGAAUCAUUUCUAUAGUAAACGUCCACAACUGUAUUCUUCAAAGAAGCUACAGACUCCAACCUGGCUGAUGAGUGCUAACCGCGGCGCCUAAGAGUGAUGCCGAUGUGGUGGUCUUUUCAGAUCGCUGGCGAUGAUCUCGCCCUGCUUGAGCGUCUGGCUUCGGCCGGCUCUUGCAGGUAGGUGCUGUCGGUCGUCUGACAGGU